GUAAAUCUCACUUGACAGCUAGYUACGUCGGGUUGUUGUAAAGAGGAAUUUGUCCAGGAAUUCAAGAAAAAUACGCAUUUUAGUUAUUCGAGGAUGGAAAACCCAGCACUUAUAACUAAAUAUUAYAUUUCCCCUGAACCAAAGCAAACCAACAUUUUCGUUACCUGUAAUCUGGAGAAAAAUCCCGACRAGAGUUGCAGUUGCGAAAGAAGGAUUGAGGAAAUUACUUGUCAAAAAUGUGGCCAUGUGUUUUCAGGAAGAAAACGAAUUCAGUGCAACAUUCACCCAAAUGUCAUUCAUCUGAUGGAUUUUUACCUCUGUCCUAAAUGCAACAAAGAAUUAUAAAUAUAUUAAAUAGAUAAUAAUAAUGUUAUACAUAUAUAGAGUUGCGUUUGUGUUUUAUUCAUUUUCAAUAUGGAUUAUAUUUWAAAAAAUCAUAGUGCAAAUGUAAUGAAUUAUCCUUAUCCGACCGUCUCUCAGUUGAGGGUCAUUUGUAGGCAAAGGUGUGGUGCAUUGUGAGAUAACUGAUAAUUAUCAUUUAUUUAAUAUUGAUUCUAUAUUAAYCUGAUACCAUUUAGAAGUGUCAUUGAUUCGUAACUUUUGAUCAAGUGCAUUAUCGUUCAAAAACAAAUACCCAAGUUUUUUUAUGUCAUGUUUUCAGAACAGUGCUUUAUUAGGAACAGCACUGACUCUUCUGGUUUUGUAUAUUAUUAUAAUUAUGGGAAAAAAUGAUAUUGAUAUUUUGUAUGAUUUAUGAAAACUGCAAAUAUGCAUUAUAGUAUAGCUUCAGUGCGAACAUGUUUUGUCCAUUAAUGAACCCUUCUCAAAAGUAUUGUGGAUACAGGGUUAACACAAAAAUUCAAAAGAAAUCAAACUUUGUAAAUGGAAUUUGUUGCAUUUCUUUUGUAUUUCCAUGUUAGCAUCAAAUUCAAGACAAUUUCAAGAAGGGCCCAUUCAUGGUGUUGUUUGUACUGAUGCUAGGCCAGAAUAUUUUGUGUUUAKGAUAAGGUUGUAUAAUAAUUGCUUUGAGUUUACAUGGACAUUUUCAUUGGUAUACUGGUACUAUAGCUUUCACAUUAGAAAAGGACAUUAUUUUGUUAUGGUUGUUCCAUUUGCUUCAAAUUUUCACAUCUGAUUUGUAGAUUUAUGAGUUUCGUCAUGAAUUGAUUUUACUUGGCCUGUGAAAAAUUAGUUAGCACAGCACAUAGUCAUUAGUUUACAACCUUCAGUUGACAGGCCAAAUCACUCUGCUGUAAUGGAAUUAAUUAUGAUUGUAA